rnacentral:rRNA from 1 species
CAGCCGCCACGGUAUACGUAGGUCCCGAGCGUUGUCCGGAUUUAUUGGGCGUAAAGCGAGCGCAGGCGGUUAGAUAAGUCUGAAGUUAAAGGCUGUGGCUUAACCAUAGUACGCUUUGGAAACUGUUUAACUUGAGUGCAAGAGGGGAGAGUGGAAUUCCAUGUGUAGCGGUGAAAUGCGUAGAUAUCGGAAGGAACACCUGUGGCGAAAGCGGCUCACUGGACCAUUUCUGACGCUGAUGCACGAAAGCUAGGGGAGCAAACAGGAUUAGAUACCCGCGUAGUCCCUGUCUCUUAUACAC